CCUACGGGAGGCAGCAGUGAGGAAUAUUGGACAAUGGGCGCAAGCCUGAUCCAGCCAUGCCGCGUGCAGGAAGACGGUCCUAUGGAUUGUAAACUGCUUUUAUACAGGAAGAAACACCUCUACGUGUAGAGACUUGACGGUACUGUAUGAAUAAGCAUCGGCUAACUCCGUGCCAGCAGCCGCGGUAAUACGGAGGAUGCAAGCGUUAUCCGGAAUCAUUGGGUUUAAAGGGUCCGUAGGCGGUUUAAUAAGUCAGUGGUGAAAGCCCAUCGCUCAACGAUGGAACGGCCAUUGAUACUGUUAAACUUGAAUUAUUAGGAAGUAACUAGAAUAUGUAGUGUAGCGGUGAAAUGCUUAGAGAUUACAUGGAAUACCAAUUGCGAAGGCAGGUUACUACUAAUAUAUUGACGCUGAUGGACGAAAGCGUGGGGAGCGAACAGGAUUAGAUACCCUGGUAGUCCACGCCGUAAACGAUGGAUACUAGCUGUUCGGAGCAAUCUGAGUGGCUAAGCGAAAGUGAUAAGUAUCCCACCUGGGGAGUACGUUCGCAAGAAUGAAACUCAAAUGAAAUUGACGGCNGAGACGAGCGAGGACGACGACGAGGGGAGGUAGG
rnacentral:rRNA from 1 species